rnacentral:misc_RNA from 1 species
GAUGAAGAACGUAUCGAAAUGCGAUAAGUAGUGUGAAUUGCAGAAUUCAGUGAAUCAUCGAAUCUUUGAACGCACAUUGCGCCCCUUGGUAUUCCAUGGGGCAUGCCUGUUCGAGCGUCAUUUGUACCUUCAAGCUUUGCUUGGUGUUGGGUGUUUGUCUCGCCUUUGCGUGUAGACUCGCCUUAAAAUAAUUGGCAGCCGGCGUAUUGAUUUCGGAGCGCAGUACAUCUCGCGCUUUGCACUCAUAACGACAGCGUCCAAAAGUACAUUUUACACUCUUGACCUCGGAUCAGGUAGGGAUACCCGCUGAACUUAAGCAUAUCAAUAAGCGGAGA